GCUAACAGCAAGUUCUUGGCUGCAGGAGGAUUAGCUGGUGAUGGGGACAAAACGAAUUGUGACUUUGUGAUGUUUUGAAAUGGAAUAUGAUGGGGUUUGUUGCUCUUUUUCCCAGCAUGGAGGUGGUAGGAGCCCGCUCCUGAAACCUAGUGAAGGUCAUUGUCAUUUUGAGGCUGUUUGGAGCACACCUACGCUAAGGAUGAAAGAAAGAAAAGAGGCGGCCAAAGGGGGAUUUGAUGGAGGUUUACAAAUGGUAAAUGGCACGGAGAGGCAAGAAUGGAAAUUCUCAUUUCUGCAAGCGACUUGAAGAGACACCAGUUAAAAUCAGCAAGAGGCGACGAGUGAUGAGAAGGAUACAGAGUGAGCUGGAAUAUAUAUGAGUGCACAAGUGUCUGCUUUUUGUAACAGCAAAUGGAAGGAAAAUCAAGUUAAGACUUCCAAAUAAAAGGAUAAAAAAAAGAGAAAUCUCCCCCCAGAAUGAAAGCUACUGUUUUAAUAAUUGAGAAGCUUUAAACUGGCUGUUUAAUACAGAUGGAAAUACCAUCUGCAAGUAAUAGGGAGAUGAUGCUCGGUGCCUAAUCAGCUGCCUUGGUGAAGCAACAUCAGGCCGUGUCUGUAAUCAGUGAUGGAGCGGAGGCCGCGACACCUUCGAGUGGCUCUCGGCGAGGGCUCCAUAAUUGCAAGAGUUUCCCCUGGUGCAGAGCGAUAAAUCAGGGAUAAUCAUAACUCUUCCUCCAAAUAAUCCUCAGGUGGAGACAAGGGGAAGAUGGUGCCAAAAUGCGGUGCCUGGAUCCAGGGGUCUACAAAUACAUUGAGUCUUACCCAUGCGCCUACUUUGCCAUAAUAUAUUUUAUUAGUAGUACUCUCCUGUAAGAUUUUAGAUUUUUUAGAAUCAAUUUAUAUCCUGACUGGUUCUUUUGCAAAGCAGCAGCUCGACAAGGCCCAAUUCAAGGGUUCCUUGAGCUCCAGCAUCUUCUCCACCCACUAUUUCCAUCCAUCAGAAGUAAAGCCCCAAGAAAUCUUACCCUGUUACCCCAGAAAUUAGACCUGCCCCGAAAAUAAGCCCUAGCAUGAUUUUUCAGGAUUUUUGAUGGUACUCAAAAUAUAAGGCCUGC